rnacentral:lncRNA from 1 species
CUUGCACAACACCUAGUUCGCCGUGGUUUGGCCGGAAACUGCCUCGAAAGCCUCGGAGGUCGCCGGAAACUGGUAUUUUUCAAAUGAGUAUAACUUCUUCAAUACUCAACGAAAUUGAGUGAAACAAAAAGGAAAGUUGUAGUACUUGACGAGACGAAGAGAUUGAUACCUACCUCGACUCCUAACUCGCCGGAGAUUCGCCGGAAAACGCCUCGAAAGCUCCGGCCAAAUUUUGAACUUGUCGAUCUCCGUGUUCUUACGUCCAAAAAACUUCCAACGAAGCACUCCGGCUUCCUUGGGACCUCACUAAGCUCACUAUGAGCUUGGAUUGUCCUAAAAAUCAACCAAUUCAAAGCUCAUGAACAGUACACUUUCAUGGGGAGUUUAGAAUCUAGGUUUUCCGAAGUAAAACUUACCUGAAAUGGAUACCAACGUGAUCGUGAAGUCCUCAGGAUUCCAAUGGUGGUCUCAAACUUGACGUUGGUAUAGAUUUAGGGUGGUUUUGGUGGUGGUCCGUGUGAGUUCGAAGGAGAGAGACAGAGAGAGUGAGAAAUCGUGAAGGAGGAGAGAGAAAGACAGUGAACGGGAAAU